UUUGAUCCUGGCUCAGGAUGAACGCUAGCGGCAGGCUUAAUACAUGCAAGUCGAGGGGUAACAUGGGUAGCAAUACCUGAUGACGACCGGCAAACGGGUGCGGAACACGUACGCAACCUUCCCAUAACUGGUGAAUAGCCUUCCGAAAGGGAGAUUAAUACACCGUAACAUAAUGAAGAGGCAUCUCUUUAUUAUUAUAGGCUUCGGCCGGUUUUGGAUGGGCGUGCGCCUGAUUAGGUAGUUGGCGGGGUAACGGCCCACCAAGCCUGCGAUCAGUAACUGGUGUGAGAGCACGACCAGUCACACGGGCACUGAGACACGGGCCCGACUCCUACGGGAGGCAGCAGUAAGGAAUAUUGGUCAAUGGACGAAAGUCUGAACCAGCCAUGCCGCGUGAAGGAUGAAGGCCCUCUGGGUUGUAAACUUCUUUUAUCUGGGACGAAAAAAGGGCUUUCUAGCUCACUUGACGGUACCAGAGGAAUAAGCACCGGCUAACUCCGUGCCAGCAGCCGCGGUAAUACGGAGGGUGCAAGCGUUAUCCGGAUUUACUGGGUUUAAAGGGUGCGUAGGUGGGCAGUUAAGUCAGUGGUGAAAUCUCCGAGCUUAACUCGGAAACUGCCAUUGAUACUAUCUGUCUUGAAUAUUCUGGAGGUGAGCGGAAUAUGUCAUGUAGCGGUGAAAUGCUUAGAUAUGACAUAGAACACCAAUUGCGAAGGCAGCUCACUACGGGAUUAUUGACACUGAGGCACGAAAGCGUGGGGAUCAAACAGGAUUAGAUACCCUGGUAGUCCACGCCCUAAACGAUGGAUACUCGACAUCAGCGAUACACUGUUGGUGUCUGAGCGAAAGCAUUAAGUAUCCCACCUGGGAAGUACGAUCGCAAGAUUGAAACUCAAAGGAAUUGACGGGGUCCGCACAAGCGGUGGAGCAUG
rnacentral:rRNA from 1 species